GACGAACGCUGGCGGCGUGCUUAACACAUGCAAGUCGAACGGAAAGGCCCUGCUUUUGUGGGGUGCUCGAGUGGCGAACGGGUGAGUAACGCGUGAGUAACCUGCCCUUGACUUUGGGAUAACUUCAGGAAACUGGGGCUAAUACCGGAUAGGAGCUCCUGCUGCAGGGUGGGGGUUGGAAAGUUUCGGCGGUUGGGGAUGGACUCGCGGCUUAUCAGCUUGUUGGUGGGGUAGUGGCUUACCCAGGCUUUGACGGGUAGCCGGCCUGAGAGGGUGACCGGCCACAUUGGGACUGAGAUACGGCCCAGACUCGUACGGUAGGCAGCAGUGGGGAAUAUUGCACAAUGGGCGGAAGCCUGAUGAAGCAACGCCGCGUGCGGGAUGACGGCCUUCGGGUUGUAAACCGCUUUCGCCUGUGACGAAGCGGGAGUGACGGUAAUGGGUAAAGAAGCACCGGCUAACUACGUG
rnacentral:rRNA from 1 species